rnacentral:lncRNA from 1 species
UUCGAAACAUAUCAAAAUAAAUUUUACCUUCUCAGAAUUAAAAAACACAUAGCUUCAAACACUUCUUUGCAGCUUCAAGCACAGAUGAAGAAAGUAUUUGAAGAACACAUCUCAAAAUGCUCAUAGCUUCAAUCACAUUAAAGUAGGCUAAGACACUCUCGGGCUUGUAGAGGUCGUUGAACAUCAAGAAGAGGUAGGUCAUGAAAAGAUCUCAGAUCUAGGUUUCUCCUCCAUGAGAAAUUUGGGGGUUUCUUCUUUAAUUAUUCCUUUCUUGUUCGGCUUAUUAAUUUCUUGUUGAAUUUAUUAUUUUGCUUUUGAUUUAAGCAUGGAAUCUAAAUUAGGUAUCGGUUUAUCUAGGGCUAUUGAAGAUUAUCGAAGAAAGGAGAGAAAAUGUGAUUUGCUAUAGAGAAUGCGACAAAGAUGAGUAUUUGAUUGCUGAUACUAAGAUACAUAUAUUGAGAUCGGUUUUGAAUAUUAAGAUCGUUAAGGGUUCACUUUGUAGCGU